rfam:Schistosoma rodhaini strain Burundi genome assembly, scaffold: SROB_scaffold0001209
GCACUGCUGAGAAGUCUUACAAUAGGACGAAACGGUCGUCCAGUGC